rnacentral:rRNA from 1 species
AAUGAACGUUGGCGGUGUGCCUAACACAUGCAAGUCGAACGAAAGGACAGUGAGCUCUUGCCUCUGCGGUUGGCGACGGGCGGACGAGUAAGGCAUUCAUCAGCAUCUUAUUUUUCGUGGAUGACAUCGUAAGGCAGCUUCUACUACUGCCUCAUACCUUCUACGGGUUGGUGCAGGGGAUCUUCGGGCCUUUCGUGAUUGAAUGAGCCGAUGUCGGAUUAGCUAGUUGGCUGGGUAAUGGCUUACCAAGGCAACGAUGCGUAGCUGAUCUGAGAGGGUGAGCGGCCACACUGGAACUGAGACACGAUCCAGACUCCUACGGGAGGCAGCAGUGGGGAAUCUUCGGCAAUGGGCGAAAGCCUGACGCAGCCACGCCGCGUGAGUGAUGAAGGUCUUCGGAUCGUAAAGCCCUGUUAUUAGGGAAGAACAGCUGUAGAUUAAAACAUGGACGUCUUGACGGUACCUAAUCAAUAAGCACCGGCUAACUACGUG